UACGAAGGGGGCUAGCGUUGCUCGGAAUCACUGGGCGUAAAGGGUGCGUAGGCGGGUUUUUAAGUCAGGGGUGAAAUCCUGGAGCUCAACUCCAGAACUGCCUUUGAUACUGAAGAUCUUGAGUUCGGGAGAGGUGAGUGGAAUUCCGAGUGUAGAGGUGAAAUUCGUAGAUAUUCGGAAGAACACCAGUGGCGAAGGCGACUUACUGGCCACAUACUGACGCUGAGGUGCGAAAGCGUGGGGAGCAAACAGG
rnacentral:rRNA from 1 species